rnacentral:rRNA from 1 species
AUUGAACGCUGGCGGCAGGCCUAACACAUGCAAGUCGAGCGGAUGAAGGGAGCUUGCUCCUGGAUUCAGCGGCGGACGGGUGAGUAAUGCCUAGGAAUCUGCCUGGUAGUGGGGGAUAACGUCCGGAAACGGGCGCUAAUACCGCAUACGUCCUGAGGGAGAAAGUGGGGGAUCUUCGGACCUCACGCUAUCAGAUGAGCCUAGGUCGGAUUAGCUAGUUGGUGGGGUAAAGGCCUACCAAGGCGACGAUCCGUAACUGGUCUGAGAGGAUGAUCAGUCACACUGGAACUGAGACACGGUCCAGACUCCUACGGGAGGCAGCAGUGGGGAAUAUUGGACAAUGGGCGAAAGCCUGCUCCAGCCAUGCCGCGUGUGUGAAGAAGGUCUUCGGAUUGUAAAGCACUUUAAGUUGGGAGGAAGGGCAGUAAGUUAAUACCUUGCUGUUUUGACGGUACCAACAGAAUAAGCACCGGCUAACUUCGUG